AUUGAACGCUGGCGGCAGGCCUAACACAUGCAAGUCGAGCGAGCGGCGGACGGGUGAGUCAUGUCUGGGAAACUGCCUGAUGGAGGGGGAUAACUACUGGAAACGGUAGCUUAUACCGCAUACCAUCAGAUGUUCCCAGAUGGGAUUAGCUAGUAGGUGGGGUAACGGCUCACCUAGGCGACGAUCCCUAGCUGGUCUAAGAGGAGGACCAGCCACAUUGGAACUGAGAAACGGUCCAGACUCCUACGGGAGGAGGCAGUGGGGAAUAUUGCACAUGGGGCGCAAGCCGGAUGCAGCCAUGCCGCGUGUGGGAAGAAGUCCUUCGGGUGGUAAAGCACUUUCAGCGAGGAGGCGUUACCCGCAGAAGAAGCACCGGCUAACUCCGUGCCAGCAGCCGCGGUAAUUC
rnacentral:rRNA from 1 species